rnacentral:rRNA from 1 species
UACGGAAGGCAGCAGUGGGGAAUAUUGCACAAUGGGCGAAAGCCUGAUGCAGCUAUGCCGCGUGUAUGAAGAAGGCCUUAGGGUUGUAAAGUACUUUCAUCGGGGAGGAAAAAACAAAACUAAUAAUUUUAUUUCUUGACGUUACCCGAAAAAGAAGCACCGGCUAACUCCGUGCCAGCAGCCGCGGUAAUACGGAGGGUGCUAGCGUUAAUCAGAAUUACUGGGCGUAAAGAGCACGUAGGUGGUUUUUUUAAGUCAGAUGUGAAAUCCCUGGGCUUAACCUAGGAACUGCAUUUUGAAACUGAAAUACUAGAGUAUCGUAGAGGGAGGUAGAAUUCCAGGUGUAGCGGUGAAAUGCGUAGAUAUCUGGAGGAAUACCUGUGGCGAAAGCGGCCUCCUAAACGAAUACUGACACUGAGGUGCGAAAGCGUGGGGAGCGAAACAGGGAUUAGAUACC